rnacentral:rRNA from 1 species
UACAGAGGGGGCAAGCGUUAUUCGGAAUCAUUGGGCGUAAAGCGCGCGUAGGCGGCCCGGUAAGUCCGCUGUAAAAGUCAAAGGCUCAACCUUUGAAAGCCGGUGGAUACUGCCGGGCUAGAGUCCGGAAGAGGCGAGUGGAAUUCCUGGUGUAGCGGUGGAAUGCGCAGAUAUCAGGAGGAACACCGAUAGCGAAGGCAGCUCGCUGGGACGGUACUGACGCUGAGGCGCGAAAGCGUGGGGAGCGAACAGG